rnacentral:tRNA from 1 species
AUUCAAAUAGCUUAACUUAAAGCGUGAUAUUGAAGAUAUCAAGAUAGAUUUAAUCUUUUGAAUA